rnacentral:snRNA from 1 species
UUGCUUUGGCAGCAAACAUACUAAAAUUGGAACAAUUCAGAGAAGAUUAGCAUGACCCUGUAUAAGGAUGACAUGCAAAUUUGUGAAGCAGUCCAUACUUUG